AGACUGGAUAGGAAACAAAAAGGCAUCUUUUUGUUUUUAAAAGACCUUCUUACGAAGGUAUGCUUAAAGAGGGGCUUGCGCCACAUUAGUUAGUUGGUAGAGUAAAAGCCUACCAAGACGAUGAUGUGUAGCUGGACUGAGAGGUUGAACAGCCACAUUGGGACUGAGACACGGCCCAAACUCCUACGGGAGGCAGCAGUAGGGAAUUUUCGGCAAUGGAGGAAACUCUGACCGAGCAACGCCGCGUGAACGAUGAAGUAUUUCGGUAUGUAAAGUUCUUUUAUUGAAGAAGAAAAAGUAGUGGAAAAACUAUAUUGACGUUAUUCAAUGAAUAAGCCCCGGCUAACUAUGUGCCAGCAGCCGCGGUAAGACAUAGGGGGCGAGCGUUAUCCGGAAUUAUUGGGCGUAAAGGGUGCGUAGGCUGUUAGAUAAGUCUAUAAUUUAAUUUCAGUGCUUAACGCUGUCUUGUUAUAGAAACUGUCUUGACUAGAGUGAGAUAGAGGCAAGCGGAAUUCCAUGUGUAGCGGUAAAAUGUGUAAAUAUAUGGAGGAACACCAGAAGCGUAGGCGGCUUGCUGGGUCUUUACUGACGCUGAGGCACGAAAGCGUGGGUAGCAAACAGGAUUAGAUACCCUGGUAGUCCACGCCGUAAACGAUGAGUACUAAGUGUCGGGGUAAAACUCGGUACUGAAGUUAACACAUUAAGUACUCCGCCUGAGUAGUACGUACGCAAGUAUGAAACUUAAAGGAAUUGACGGGACUCCGCACAAGCGGUGGAUCAUGUUGUUUAAUUCGAAGAUACACGAAAAAUCUUACCAGGUCUUGACAUACUCUGCAAAGCUAUAGAAAUAUAGUGGAGGUUAUCAGGGAUACAGGUGGUGCAUGGUUGUCGUCAGUUCGUGUCGUGAGAUGUUAGGUUAAGUCCUAAAACGAACGCAACCCUUGUCGUUAAUUGCCAGCACAUAAUGGUGGGGACUUUAACGAGACUGCCAAUUAAACAUUGGAGGAAGGUGAGGAUUACGUCAAAUCAUCAUGCCCCUUAUGAUCUGGGCUACAAACGUGAUACAAUGGCUGUGACAAAGAGUAGCUGAAACGCGAGUUUUUAGCCAAUCUCAAAAAAGCAGUCUCAGUUCGGAUUGAAGUCUGUAACUCGACUUCAUGAAGUUGGAAUCGCUAGUAAUCGCGAAUCAGCAUGUCGCGGUGAAUACGUUCUCGGGGUUUGUACACACCGCCCGUCAAACCACGAAAGUUAGCAAUGCCCGAAAGCAGUAGCUUAACUUCGCAAGAAGAGGGAACUGUCUAAGGUAGGGUUGAUGAUUGGGGUUAAGUCGUAACAAGG
rnacentral:rRNA from 1 species